UUUAUUUGAUAGUACCUUUACCUGGAUAACCGUGGUAAUUCUAGAGCUAAUACAUGCUAAAAACCUCGACUUCGGAAGGGGUGUAUUUAUUAGAUAAAAAACCAAUGCCCUCCGGGGCUCCUUGGUGAUUCAUAAUAACUCAACGAAUCGCAUGGCCUUGCGCCGGCGAUGGUUCAUUCAAAUUUCUGCCCUAUCAACUUUCGAUGGUAGGAUAGUGGCCUACCAUGGUCUUUACGGGUAUCGGGGAAUCAGGGUUCUAUUCCGGAGAGGGAGCCUGAGAAACGGCUACCACAUCCAAGGAAGGCAGCAGGCGCGCAAAUUACCCAAUCCCGACACGGGGAGGUAGUGACAAUAAAUACUGAUACAGGGGUCUUUUGGCUCGUGUAAUUGGAAUGAGUACAAUCUAAAUCCCUUAACGAGGAACAAUUGGAGGGCAAGUCUGGUGCCAGCAGCCGCGGUAAUUCCAGCUCCAAUAGCGUAUAUUAAAGUUGUUGCCGUUAAAAAGCUCGUAGUUGAACCUUGGGCCUGGCUGAUCUGUCCUCCUAAUCGAGCGCACGGAUUCGGUCGGGCCUUUCCUUCUGGGGAGCCCGAUGUCUU
rnacentral:rRNA from 1 species